UACAGAGGGUGCAAGCGUUGUUCGGAAUUAUUGGGCGUAAAGCGCGUGUAGGCGGCUUUGCAAGUCGGGUGUGAAAGCCCUCAGCUUAACUGAGGAAGUGCGCCCGAAACUGCAUGGCUUGAGUGCCGGAGAGGAUGGCGGAAUUCCCCAAGUAGAGGUGAAAUUCGUAGAUAUGGGGAGGAACACCGGUGGCGAAGGCGGCCAUCUGGACGGUAACUGACGCUGAGACGCGAAAGCGUGGGUAGCAAACAGG
rnacentral:rRNA from 1 species